AGUGAACGCUGGCGGCGUGCUCAACACAUGCAAGUCGAACGAGAACGGGAUAUAGCUUGCUAUAUUUGUCAGCUAAGUGGCGCACGGGUGAGUAAUGUAUAGAUAACCUGCCCUCUAGAAAGGAAUAACAGUUGGAAACGACUGCUAAUGCCCUAUAUGCCUUUAAUACAUAAGUAUGCAAGGGAAACGCUUUAGUGCUAGAGGAUGGGUCUGUAUGGUAUCAGCUUGUUGGUGAGGUAAUGGCUCACCAAGGCUAUGACGCCUAACUGGUUUGGGAGGAUGAUCAGUCACACUGGAACUGAGACACGGUCCAGACUCCUACGGGAGGCAGCAGUGGGGAAUAUUGCACAAUGGACGAAAGUCUGAUGCAGCAACGCCGCGUGGAGGAUGACACAUUUCGGUGCGUAAACUCCUUUUAUAUAGGAAGAUAAUGACGGUACUAUAUGAAUAAGCACCGGCUAACUCCGUGCCAGCCGCCGCAGUAACAC
rnacentral:rRNA from 1 species